UACGUAGGGGGCGAGCGUUGUCCGGAAUCAUUGGGCGUAAAGCGCGUGUAGGCGGCCCGGUAAGUCCGCUGUGAAAGUCCAGGGCUCAACCCUGGGAUGCCGGUGGAUACUGUCGGGCUCGAGUCCGGAAGAGGCGAGUGGAAUUCCUGAUGUAGCGGUGAAAUGCGCAGAUAUCAGGAGGAACACCAAUGGCGAAGGCAGCUCGCUGGGACGGUACUGACGCUGAGACGCGAAAGCGUGGGGAGCAAACAGG
rnacentral:rRNA from 1 species